AGAGUUUGAUCCUGGCUCAGGAUGAACGCUAGCGACAGGCCUAACACAUGCAAGUCGAGGGGCAGCGGGGAGGUAGCAAUACCUUUGCCGGCGACCGGCGCACGGGUGAGUAACACGUAUGCAAUCCACCUGUAACAGGGGGAUAACCCGGAGAAAUCCGGACUAAUACCCCAUAAUAUGGGCGCUCCGCAUGGAGAGUCCAUUAAAGAGAGCAAUCUUGGUUACAGACGAGCAUGCGCUCCAUUAGCCAGUUGGCGGGGUAACGGCCCACCAAGGCGACGAUGGAUAGGGGUUCUGAGAGGAAGGUCCCCCACAUUGGAACUGAGACACGGUCCAAACUCCUACGGGAGGCAGCAGUGAGGAAUAUUGGUCAAUGGUCGGCAGACUGAACCAGCCAAGUCGCGUGAGGGAAGACGGCCCUACGGGUUGUAAACCUCUUUUGUCGGAGAGUAAAGUGCGCUACGCGUAGCGUAUUGCAAGUAUCCGAAGAAAAAGCAUCGGCUAACUCCGUGCCAGCAGCCGCGGUAAUACGGAGGAUGCGAGCGUUAUCCGGAUUUAUUGGGUUUAAAGGGUGCGUAGGCGGCACGCCAAGUCAGCGGUGAAAUUUCCGGGCUCAACCCGGAAUGUGCCGUUGAAACUGGCGAGCUAGAGUGCACAAGAGGCAGGCGGAAUGCGUGGUGUAGCGGUGAAAUGCAUAGAUAUCACGCAGAACCCCGAUUGCGAAGGCAGCCUGCUAGGGUGCGACAGACGCUGAGGCACGAAAGCGUGGGUAUCGAACAGGAUUAGAUACCCUGGUAGUCCACGCAGUAAACGAUGAAUACUAACUGUUUGCGAUACAAUGUAAGCGGUACAGCGAAAGCGUUAAGUAUUCCACCUGGGGAGUACGCCGGCAACGGUGAAACUCAAAGGAAUUGACGGGGGCCCGCACAAGCGGAGGAACAUGUGGUUUAA
rnacentral:rRNA from 1 species